CCUGAUGACCAUAGUGCUGUGGUUCUACCUGAUUCCAUUCCGAACUCAGAAGUAAAACGCAGUAACGCCGAUGGUAGUGUGGUGUUUCGCCAUGUGAGAGUAGGGCAUCAUCAGGG
rnacentral:rRNA from 1 species